CCUACGGGGGGCAGCAGUGGGGAAUAUUGCGCAAUGGGCGAAAGCCUGACGCAGCGACGCCGCGUGAGGGAUGAAGGUCUUCGGAUCGUAAACCUCUGUCAGCAGGGAAGAACGGUCACUGUGCUAAUCAGCAGUGAAUUGACGGUACCUGCAAAGGAAGCACCGGCUAACUCCGUGCCAGCAGCCGCGGUAAUACGGAGGGUGCGAGCGUUAAUCGGAAUUACUGGGCGUAAAGCGCUCGUAGGCGGUAUGUCAAGUCAAGGGUGAAAUCCCCGCGCUCAACGUGGGAACUGCCUUUGAAACUGGCAAACUGGAGUGUGUGAGAGGAUAGUGGAAGUCCAGGUGUAGGAGUGAAAUGCGUAGAUAUCUGGAGGAACAUCAGUGGCGAAGGCGACUAUCUGGCACAUAACUGACGCUGAGGAGCGAAAGCGUGGGUAGCAAACAGGAUUAGAUACCCUUGUAGUC
rnacentral:rRNA from 1 species